rnacentral:rRNA from 1 species
AGUGAACGCUGGCGGUAGGCCUAACACAUGCAAGUCGAACGGCAGCACAGUAAGAGCUUGCUCUUACGGGUGGCGAGUGGCGGACGGGUGAGGAAUACAUCGGAAUCUACUUUUUCGUGGGGGAUAACGUAGGGAAACUUACGCUAAUACCGCAUACGACCUACGGGUGAAAGCAGGGGAUCUUCGGACCUUGCGCGAUUGAAUGAGCCGAUGUCGGAUUAGCUAGUUGGCGGGGUAAAGGCCCACCAAGGCGACGAUCCGUAGCUGGUCUGAGAGGAUGAAUCGGCAACACGGAAAUGGAGACAGGGUCCAAACCCUAACGGAGGGCGGAGGGGGGAAUAUUUGACCAAGGGGGGAAAGCCUGUCCAAGCAUAACGGGUGGGGGAAGGAGGGCCUCCGGUUUGUAAAGCCUUUUGGUGGGAAAAAAAAAGCAGCAGUUUAAUACCCCGUGUUUCGGAGGGUACCCAAAGAUUAAGCACCGGUAAAUUUGUU